rfam:Mesocricetus auratus contig081882, whole genome shotgun sequence.
UGCUAUGAUGAGAUCAUCAACAGGAAGUGCCGUCAGAGGUGAUAACUGAUAACCAUUCCUGGCUGACU